rnacentral:rRNA from 1 species
UACGAGGGGUGCAAGCGUUGCUCGGAAUUAUUGGGCGUAAAGGGUAGGUAGGUGGUCUCGUUUGUCUGGGGUGAAAGCCUUGAGCUUAACUCAAGAAGUGCCCUAGAAACGGCGAGACUGGAGUCUUGGAGAGGGUCGUGGAAUUCCCGGUGUAGCGGUGAAAUGCGUAGAGAUCGGGAGGAACACCAGAGGCGAAGGCGGCCAUCUGGGACAACACUGACGCUGAAGCACGAAAGCGUGGGGAGCAAACAGG